UACGGGGGGGGCAAGCGUUGUUCGGAAUUACUGGGCGUAAAGGGCUCGUAGGCGGCCAACUAAGUCAGACGUGAAAUCCCUCGGCUUAACCGGGGAACUGCGUCUGAUACUGGAUGGCUUGAGUUUGGGAGAGGGAUGCGGAAUUCCAGGUGUAGCGGUGAAAUGCGUAGAUAUCUGGAGGAACACCGGUGGCGAAGGCGGCAUCCUGGACCGGCAUUGACGCUGAGGAGCGAAAGCUAGGGGAGCAAACGGG
rnacentral:rRNA from 1 species